UACGUAGGGGGCGAGCGUUGUCCGGAUUUAUUGGGCGUAAAGAGCUCGUAGGCGGCUGUUCGAGUCGGGUGUGAAACCCCAGGGCUUAACUCUGGGCCUGCAUUCGAUACUGGGCGGCUUGAGUCUGGUAGGGGGAUCUGGAAUUCCUGGUGUAGCGGUGGAAUGCGCAGAUAUCAGGAGGAACACCCGUGGCGAAGGCGGUUCUCUGGGACGGUACUGACGCUGAGACGCGAAAGCGUGGGGAGCGAACAGG
rnacentral:rRNA from 1 species